rnacentral:rRNA from 1 species
UACGUAGGGAGCAAGCGUUGUCCGGAAUCAUUGGGCGUAAAGCGCGCGUAGGUGGCCCCAUAAGUCCGCUGUGAAAGUCAAAGGCUCAACCUUUGAAAGCCGGUGGAUACUGUCGGGCUCGAGUACGGAAGAGGCGAGUGGAAUUCCUGGUGUAGCGGUGAAAUGCGCAGAUAUCAGGAGGAACACCAAUUGCGAAGGCAGCUCGCUGGGACGUUACUGACGCUGAGACGCGAAAGCGUGGGGAGCAAACAGG